UUUCCGUAGGUGAACCUGCGGAAGGAUCAUUCAUAAUAAGUGUUUUAUGGCACUUUUUUAAAUCCAUAUCCACCUUGUGUGCAAUGUCAGGGUUGAUUUUUCUCUCGAGAGGAUCAGCCCCAAACAUCUACUAUAUCUCAACUCUUUGUCUGAAAAAUAUUAUGAAUAAACAAUUCAAAAUACAACUUUCAACAACGGAUCUCUUGGCUCUC
rnacentral:misc_RNA from 1 species